AAUGAAAUGGAAUGAGAUAAUCAAGAAGUCAUGACCAAAUAUAGAGAGGAUCAAGGUCAAACAAUAGAAAACAGAAGCAAAAUGAGAAUUAAAAGUCAAGAAACAAAUAAAAUAUUUUUGGAAUUUUUAAUAUUUAAAAUAAAACUUGGAUUAAAAUAAUAAAGAAAGGUCAAACUUCAAACUCACUUCAAAUCAACUUAGAAAAUUCCAAGUGAAUUAUCCCAAGUUCAACAAGGUGAAACAAAAAUUGACAAAAAAAUUCAGCAUUUUUAAAAGUCAG
rnacentral:lncRNA from 1 species